rnacentral:other from 1 species
UAAGCCCUGCAUUGGUAUGGGUGUUGUAUUUGGGAAGAACCAACACCAUUAAAAAGGGAGCUUGACUCUGGGCGUCUAAUGCAGGCCUUCUCUUCGGAGAAGGAAGCGUGAACCGUUCAGGCAGGCACCCACCGUGUCGAGCACGGUUCUUUUCCAAAUCCAUCCUACCAAUGCAGGGUAUUU